GGGGAAGAGUGGCGAACGGGUGAGGAACACGUAAGAAUCUGCCCCUCGGUCGGGGACAACUUUUGGAAACGAAAGCUAAUACCCGAUACGCUGUGGAGUGAAAGAAUUUCGCCGAGGGAUGAUCUUGCGUCUGAUUAGCUAGUUGGUGUGGUAAAGGCAUACCAAGGCGACGAUCAGUAGCUGGUCUGAGAGGAUGAACAGCCACACUGGAACUGAGACACGGUCCAGACUCC
rnacentral:rRNA from 1 species